rfam:Clostridium taeniosporum strain 1/k, complete genome.
UCAACAUUCAUACGGAAGACUCGUAUAUUUUCAAUAUAAUGGUUGGAAAGUUUCUACCUGCUAUCCGUAAAUUAGCAGACUACGAGGUAUUGUUAAAAUUCU